ensembl:lncRNA
CUGUGAGCGCCCUGCUCCUCAGCCCUGCCCGCUUCAGCCCCGCCCGUCGGGCAGCCCGGUGCUUCACCCGCGUCCGGAGCGGUGCUGUUAACGCCGGGCCGCGCCUGAGGCGAGGAAAGGGUUUUCCUUGGCCCGGGCGUGAGGCGCGUGCGGGCUGAGGAGCCGUAGCCCGGCUGCUGCGCGCCUCUGCCCUGCGGGGAGUGGCUUUCAAGUUUCCUCACCGCUUUGCCGCACUUCCUCUUCCAGGCUCUCAUUUGAAAUAAUAUUUUGGUGGCUUAAGAGCCGUGGUGUUGUUAGAGUGGCAGGGCCGAAGCUGGGCGGGCUCCCUCGGUGUUCCCGAGGCGGCGGCCCUGUGUGGGCCUCGAGUCUUCGGCGGCGGUCUGUGUGGGCCUCGAGUCUUCGGUGUGUACGUGUGGAGCUCAAGUAGGAGAGGACACGGAAUCACAGCGUGCCCCGAGUUGGAAGGGACCCGUGCGGAUCAUGGAUUCCAACUGCCAGCUCCACACGAGACCCUCCAAAAAUGAGCCCACGUGUCUGCGUGUGGUACAGAUGAUUCUUGAACUCGGUCAGCUCAGUGCCGUGACCACACGGCCUGUUCCACACCCACCACCCUCCGCUGCAGAACCUUUUCCUGAACGCCUUCUGCCCAAAGCAGACUUCUGUCAUCGUUUUCUAACUCAUGCUGGUGGGUGCCGGGGUGCUGCUGAGGGCUGCGAUUGACCAUCGCGAGGCUGUAGUCAUCUCUGGAAAGCCGGGUCCCAUCUGUGUGGUGUCCAGCUUCUUCCCUGAAGGUUUCACUUCGUGCUCACAAGGCCCAGAUACAUCCCUGAUCUGAGACAGAGGGAUCACCAGAGGGAAGAAGGCUGAAAGAGUUUUAGCAGCUGGCUUGAGCUCAGAAGGAAGAGUUGCAACUCAUGCUGAGAUCUCCAUCAUGCUGAGAUGCAACUGCCUGGUGUUUUUGAAGGCUCUGUUUGCUGUAGAGGUUCGAUGUAGGUUUCAUAACAACAGGGGUUUACUUCACUGCCCCAAGUCAAGGGGUGUGUUUGUUUUGUGUUGGAGGAAGAUCCAGCCUGCUGU